rnacentral:tRNA from 1 species
UCCCUGGUGGUCCAGUGGUUAGGACUCCACACUUCCACUGCAUGGACCAUGGGUUCAAUACCUGGUCAGGGAA